rnacentral:rRNA from 1 species
UGGCCUCUUCUUGAAAGCUAUCACCAGAGGAUGAGCCUGCGUCCCUUCAGCUUGUUGGUAAGGUAACGGCUUACCAAGGCGAAGACGGGUAGCUGGUCUGAGAGGAUGAUCAGCCACACUGGCACUGGAACACGGGCCAGACUCCUACGGGAGGCAGCAGUGAGGAAUAUUGGGCAAUGGGCGCAAGCCUGACCCAGCCACGCCGCGUGUGUGAUGAAGGCCUUCGGGUCGUAAAGCACUGUGGGGAGGGACGAAAAAUCUCCGUUCGAAUAGGGCGGAGGCUUGACGGUACCUCCUUAGCAAGCACCGGCUAACUCUGUG